AUUGGUGCAUAUGAACUAACAUGUCACCCUGUGAUUGAUGUUUCCCUAUUACUCUGCCAAAGUACAUUAAGUUAAGCUCCUUUUCGUCUCCGCAAAUAGUAGGGGCUACAGAUGUCCCUCAUUUGUAAUCCUCAGCAACUAACACAACCGAGGGAUGGGAAAGGGUGCUGGUACCCAUUGCCUGCCUGAAAUGGAUUAGGGAGAUUCCUGUACAGAGCACUAUCACAAGAAUAAAGUUCCAAAGCAAGUGAAAACGAAGAGGAAGGAGUUCUGGUGCUGGCUGCAAGCGCUGCCAGACAGAGCAGAUGACAAUACCUCUGAGCCCACACUCGCAUUUGAUGAUCUGAAAUGCUGAUAAGAGUCCACAGUUUCUCCUCUUACCAAACAAGCCCUUUCCAUGGGAUGCAAAGCGUCUUCCCCGGAUUUCACACAAAUGAGGCAGCCGUGUGUAUUCCAGUGCCUGACUCAGUGCCAUAAUCCAGAAAUAUCUGCAUUAUCUGCUCGGCGGCAACAUUUCAGCUGUUUGAGGAGUUUCCAAGCAUCCUGCAACCUCCACUGGGUGCAUUGAGGCUUUUAUUUCACUGUUGGUUCCCCUGCUGUGCUGCCAAUGACUGACGGCACACAUCAGUCCCCCUGUGAGCGCGAUGGACUGUGCAUAGUUCACCAGGGACAUCCCGCCAGUUUGUGAACCGAUGCAGGAAAUACUGUCAACUAUGUGUUAGUGAUAUAUCCCAGAUCUUCUCAUGACUCAUAUCUUUAAAGGUUUUUUAAAUUAUUAUUUAUUCCAGCAAUUGGUGAUGACUGGAGAACACCAAAUCCGGCCAAUAACCAAUAAGGAUUUGUUUUAAAAUAUCCUAGGCUAAAAUGGACUAAUUUACUUCUGGGAGACUGACUGAGAAUUCAUUUUGCUAUUCUCUGUGGCCGUAUCUUCACACAAAGCUUCAGCUGCAGCUGAUUUCUCAGCAUGCACACAUUCCAAGCACACACAUCACACAUUCAUGCAGCUCGCACACUCAUGUGGAUGUCCUGCACCCUCACACACACACCUUGAGCGCAUACAUCUGACAUGCUUGAACAUACAUAUGUCCUGCCCAUGCAGAGAGACACCCCACUCUCUUCCACCUCACACACGCACACAAACCUUGCACACUUGUACAUCUUGCACACACAAACUCGGAAUACCACAGGAUGCCAUGCCCAUGACCACACCCAGCUCUCACUCUCACCUCACACAUCAUAGAAUCAUUUAAGUUGGAAAAGACCACUAAGGUCAUCUAGUCCAGCUGCCGACCCACCCCCACCAUGCCCACUGACCACAUCCCUCAGUGCCACAUCUCCACAUUUCUUGAACACCUCCAGGGACGGUGACUCCACCACCUCCCUUGGCAGCCUGCACCAAUGCCUCACCACUCUUUCUCAGAAUAAAUUUUUCCUCAUAUCCAACCUGAGCCUCCCCUGACACAACUUAAGGCCACUACCUCUUGUCCCAUCGCUAAACCCUUCUCACACUCCUUGCACGCAUCCAGUGUCUGCACCGCUCCUGCAAUGGGCACUGAGGGAACACACUGCUCAUCCCCAGCUCCUGCUGUGGCUGUACUGGACCUGUCUUCUACACCCCUAAGAGUAAACCUGGCACUGAAAUGGAGGGCUCUUUUCUCAUGCAAAUGUUUAGCAUGACAGGAGACAGUGCAGCGGGACAGAGGAACCUAGUCUCUUCUAAUCAACACUGAUUGUUUAUUAAUGAAGUAUGACAAGCUUUGUCUCUCCCUGCCUGUAAGAUAAAAUUUGUUUUAAC
ensembl:lncRNA